UCCAAUGACACUCUUUUGCUUCCACACCCCAAAGAUCACUCAAAUUCCAGAUUAAACUCCAGUUAAACAAUAACAGUGGUGAGCCAGCCCGAUGUUCAGGCCCAAAUUUAUGUUUCUCCUUUUUUCUCCUAACCCAACACACAACCGCAGCCCUGCUUAGUCUUCAGAUGGCCCGUCUUCGAUGCAUGUUUAUUGAGCGCCCUGAGUGUUGCGUGUGCUGGGAAUGUGGUAAGAGGCAGAGCCGGCCCACCCUUCAUGGAGCUGAUGCUGUCUGUGGGGCAGCUGACGGGCCAGCAGAUGGAACAUGCCGAUAAUGUGAAGGAUGAAGUUGUAAAUGGGGAGAAGGUCCAAGGGCAAGAAUUUUCAAGGAACCAAAAGACACUGGAGCCGAGAAGGGAACAUGGCCCUGAGAGGAGCUGUAGAGGGAGGAGGGGGCAAACAGGUGAGCCUGGGCACUGGGGGGUUGAGGCAGGGCUGGAGACGGCAGGGCCAGAGGAGCAGAGGUGGCUGUUGCCAGGACCCCGGAUGACGGGGCGGAGAAGGAGAUGGAUUUGGAGUUGGCAACUCCACUGUUUGCUCCGAGACCUGGAUGGGUGGUGAGGAAAUGGGGCAAUGGGGGCCGGCGGUUCUAUCAACAGGUGUGGCUGUGAAGAUGUGGGGCUGGUGGCCAGGGGCUGGUUUUGGUCGUGGUGGUCUUGUUUUUAAGGAUGGAAAAGGAUGGAGUUUCCUCGAACGAAGGCCAUAUAGUCUUGUGCUCCGCGGAAACACUGGAAUAUUCUCCUUGCGGUUGAACGACAGUGGCACCUUAUUGGCAGAGGCAGCCAGGACCAGGCUCCACCUGGAAGAAGUUCCUGGGGUCAGGCUGGAGAAAGCAGACACAGACACACUCUGAGCACCUGCACAGUGCAGAGUGGGCUUAGUGACCCCAGCUGUCCAUCACACCACCUUCAACUCAGAAGCGCAUCGAGGAGGCCCACAGAGAACUGGGAACUGAAAUCUGGACCCACGAUCCAUCCAGAAAUUCUGAACAGGUCCCCCAGCCGGGGCGCUCCAGAGAUGUUGACGCAGAGGAGGAAGCCACAGAGCACAUCCCUGUUGGGGCAGCAUGGAGACAGUGGGCCGUAAGUCUGACCUCCAGUCCAAAUGCUACUACUGCUACUGAGCUUGAAUCUGCCCUCUCCCCACCACCUGGUUUUUCACAUAUUCUCCACGGGGACUCAAAGGCUUAUCCUAGAACCUGUUGCCCCAACUCUGAAAAAAAAAUCCUCCUGGCUCCCAGAGCUGGGGAGGCCAACCAGGAACCUUGGCAACUCACUGUUUAUUGCACUGGACCCAGCCUGACCCCUUGCGCCCACAGUUCCCACGCUCUGUCCCCUCCACGUUCAGCUUCUCAUAGCAGAAGCGAUCAGCAGCCGCUGUAAGGAGAUGAUGCCAGGCGUCACCCACUCACCCCAGAACCUGCCCCAAGACCUCAGGCCUGCACCUCCAACACUCUGGUCUGACCCCCUGUCCAGCUGGGUCGCUGAGAUCCUGGAGACCACACACUUGGUAGAGGGCCUAUUUAGCCAGAACUUACCCCUCCCCAGCCUCUUGAUUCUGGGUCCCCCAGAGUCCCCCCUCUCCCAUUCCUAGCCAAAGACUCACCAUGGCCCCAAAGGGCUUGGCACUGCCGGUCCCGGGUUUUGCAGCGACCUCCAUAGCAGCGGCCCUAUGGAACAAACAGGAGACAAGGGACUAAGACACUGAGUGGUUGGAAUGGAUAUAAGACAAAAGACUGUAUUGAGCCAGAGGCCCCAAGGGGGAGGGCCCCCACCCAUCAUACCUGUUCGUGAUCGCAGUAGUAACC